rnacentral:lncRNA from 1 species
GAACAUUGAUCCAAUUCUAAAGUAAAGUGCCUUUCAAAUCCAGCUCAAGUUGUUCCUAAGAAUGCCAAGAAUCAUGUGUUCUUGUAGUUACAUUCACAUCAUGUGGUAUCUAGAGUCUAGGCUUGUUGUUGCUUAAAUUUUGAGUUGUAUUGCACUUUACAUUUCAAGAGCUCUUAAAUUCAAGUUGUUUACCAUUCUGUUUUAGGAUUUAUUUUGAGUUUUCUUGCUGUUUU